rnacentral:rRNA from 1 species
GAUGAACGCUGGCGGCGUGCCUAAUACAUGCAAGUCGAGCGAACAGAUAAGGAGCUUGCUCCUUUGACGUUAGCGGCGGACGGGUGAGUAACACGUGGGUAACCUACCUAUAAGACUGGGAUAACUUCGGGAAACCGGAGCUAAUACCGGAUAACAUUUGGAACCGCAUGGUUCUAAAGUGAAAGAUGGUUUUGCUAUCACUUAUAGAUGGACCCGCGCCGUAUUAGCUAGUUGGUAAGGUAACGGCUUACCAAGGCAACGAUACGUAGCCGACCUGAGAGGGUGAUCGGCCACACUGGAACUGAGACACGGUCCAGACUCCUACGGGAGGCAGCAGUAGGGAAUCUUCCGCAAUGGGCGAAAGCCUGACGGAGCAACGCCGCGUGAGUGAUGAAGGGUUUCGGCCCGUAAAACUCUGUUAUUAGGGAAGAACAAACGUGUAAGUAACUGUGCACGUCUUGACGGUACCUAAUCAGAAAGCCACGGCUAACUACGUG